CUAACCUGCCCUUCAGAGGGGGACAACAGUUGGAAACGACUGCUAAUACCGCAUACGAUCUAAUCUCGGCAUCGAGGAUAGAUGAAAGGUGGCCUCUACAUGUAAGCUAUCACUGAAGGAGGGGAUUGCGUCUGAUUAGCUAGUUGGUGAGGUAACGGCUCACCAAGGCAACGAUACAUAGGGGGACUGAGAGGUUAACCCCCCACAUUGGUACUGAGACACGGACCAA
rnacentral:rRNA from 1 species